UACGAAGGGACCUAGCGUAGUUCGGAAUUACUGGGCUUAAAGAGCUCGUAGGUGGUUAAAAAAGUUGAUGGUGAAAUCCCAAGGCUCAACCUUGGAACUGCCAUCAAAACUUUUUAGCUAGAGUGUGAUAGAGGUAAGUGGAAUUUCUAGUGUAGAGGUGAAAUUCGUAGAUAUUAGAAAGAACACCAAAAGCGAAGGCAACUUACUGGGUCACUACUGACACUGAGGAGCGAAAGCAUGGGUAGCGAAGAGG
rnacentral:rRNA from 1 species